CUGCCCUAAAAACCUUCAAAAUUAAGUCUGCCUUUAUGCAAUGCUUAUCUUCAAGUGAUAACUGCUCUCCUCUGCCCAGUUCAGAGAUUAAAAGGCAAACCGGAAGGCUUUUUACCCGCCCCGAUCAGAGUUCAAGUUUCUUUAUUUCCCCAGAAACUACUGCUGAAUCACUAACACCUGAAAACAAAGCGAGAUCUGGAUUCUCCGUGCAGCCUCGGGCAUCGGUGAUUCAUCAAGCCCUGCACAAGGCACAACACAACUUGUAGGCCACGUGAGCCAAAACACCCCAACAAGAAAAACAAGUGGGAGGAAGGUGCCGCCUGGUUUCAGAUUCCCCUCUCUGCCAGUGUUUGCCUCGCCUGGCCAUGGCUGGCUGGCUCCCGUUGCGGCAUGCCCCAGAGUGCAGGAGAUGAAGGCUUGAAAUGUUGCUAUGCAGAAAAAAUUGAAAGCGAGGAAAAUCAAGUCAUGGUGUGCAAAGGAAGGGAGAGCGUUGACCAGGUUCCUGGAGAAAGGGUCUGCAUAGAGCCCACCACCUUCACCCAAACACCAGACAUCGGCUGCAAACCCACCGAUGGUGCUUGCAGCAGCGGUGGCCUCUUCAAAGGGUCCUGUUUUACUGAAUAGGGAUGUUUUCAGUCCUGUUAGCGCAGUCCUUCUCUGCAGCUGGGGUUCACACACCUAACCCUGGAGUAAGAAACUUGCAAAAAAAGGACUUAUUUUGAGAAAGCCGCUCAGAAACUGAGUAAAAAAUUGUUCAAGUAGGGCUUUUUUCCAUGCACUGGAAAACACAUCAACAACGUCUACUACAAAUCACAUUGGCCACAUUAAUAAUUAAGUAUAGGCUCUUCUCUCUCCGAUUUUACCUAGCUGUCAUGAAAACAGCUUGAUAAAAUAACUCUUUAUGAAUAAUCAACAGCAACAACAUUAACCCAGCAAGCUAUAAAUAAAAGAAGGGAGUGAAGACUAUAGGGCUGCCUCCGCCACGCACACACGCAAGCCACCUGGGAAAGACAAAACCAAGACAAAACCAGAAUAUAUAUAUUUGUCUCUCUAUAAAAAUACAACCGUGUUAAAAGAAUGAGAAUAAGAUCCAGGGAAACAACAGGAAUACCUCUAGCUAUCUUGCACGCUAGAUCUCAUCUUGUCCAUAGACAACAGGUGGCCUCACACAUAUCAUCGAGCAUCCUGUAACCCUCUCUGACGUCUCGUCCCAGCCACGUCAGCCAGCAGUUUAAUACAAAACACUACUGACAGAUACUGUAGGCAUCUGCCGAAUGCUAUGAGAGGCUCUUCGCGGUGUCUGAUCUACUUAGAUCAGGGUCCUGCGCUCUGAUUAUUACUUCAUGUUGUCUCAUCUACACGUUGGAAAGAUUAAGGAAUAAAACCCAACAAACGCCUUUGCACCCUCAGGAAAACCAAUUUUACAUCAUUGUUGUGCUUAAAAAGAGAAAAGUCCCACAGCAAACGGUUGAGGGUGCUUUUGCCUGUUUGCUUUCAUAAUGUCCCCUUUUCAUCAAAAGGUACGGUGGUAAUAACUGGGUCUGAUUUUUAAUAUUUCUGACUUAUUUUAGAUGUGUAUUUGAUAGUUCAGUGUAGCGUUGACCUAUUCUCAUAUCAAACCCCACUUGACUCCUUAUGAGUCCAACUUGAGUGAAACCAACUCCCUCGGAUUUUCCUGCCAACAUUAAUUUAGCAAUCUUAUUUAUAAAAAUAGCAAAAAAUUUCCAAAUAUGAAACACCAUUUUAUUCCCUGUUUACCAACUGUAUUCCAGAGCACUGUUGCUAUACACAAUAUGGACCGUGCAGCACAACAGGAGCUCUGCCAGUAAACUAAAAUAUUCAUGAGACGUAAGGUUGUGUGAGACUGUUAACAUGACUUGCCUCUCAUUUAGCACUCCAUCGGGCUGUAUCGAUGACAAUGUCACCAGUGACAACUCUUCCAGGCACCAGCAAAUAAGGGAAGAAGGCAAGAAACCCAACGUGCGCAAGCGCAGGGCAUGCAAAGCUGACUCAAGGCAGAUAGACAUGUAGGAAUAUUUAAUGGAUGUCUUCUCCUCUUGGUACAUGCAGAACCUACAGCCACGGAUCACCUGAAACAUCAUUACCCAGCAGAAUAACCAAUUCCCUCUCUAAAAACCAACCAAGAUGAUUGGAGAUGAUAAACACAAGAUGAUGACAUGGUAUCAGCAUUUUGAAGACCGCACUGGCACAAACAAACACAUUAGCAGGAAAUGUUGGGGGAAAAACAAACAUCUAUAAAAGCUACAUUCUGCUACAGACAUAACGGAGGAAAAAUAAAACAGCUGAACUGCUGGCUUUCCCAGUUGGCAGGUAUUUUAGAGCCUAAAGGGCCCUGAAAACUUAAUACAGUAUAAAAUUGCUGUAAUUUAAAAGACUUCUAAUUAAAAAGCUAUAGCAUUAACUUUUGGUCCUCUCUCAGCCCCCCACUUCUAUUCCUUAAACAUUUGCCUCAACUGUACAAUAAAAAUGAAAUAAAAAAAUGUAUGUAAUCACUGAAGGAACUGCAUCAAGCUGAAGAUUUAGAAACAGAAAACUAAAAAAUGCCAGAAAAUACAUGCAGGUUUCAAUUUACCCAAGACUACUGAUAUGUACAGCAACCCAAAGCCUUAAUUUUCCAUGAAAUCCACUAUGUAAUUUCUUUUUUGCUCAUUCCAGCUAGAUUACCAUUCUGAUUUGAUCACAGCCACUGCAUAGGAAAAACAGCCAUUAGCUCACCCGGUUCGUGCUGAUAGUGCAGGAUUGUCCCCUAGUACAGUUUCUGCAGUGACAUCCCAUCCAACGAUGCAGUCAAGAGUAACACAGCGUCCCCCACAACACUUAGCACUAUAGCAAGGCUCGCUAUUAGCAGCUCUCCCUGCGCCUUAGUCUGAAUCUCUCCUCUUUUCAAUUUGUAAGUCCUCAAAAUCCACCACUCGCUGGGAGAAUCUCUGCUGCCCCUCCGUGAAGGGCAGUCAUGACCACGGUCGAUGGCUGAAGACGGGACACAUGGGUACCUCACUGCUGCAUGACUCGCUAAUCUCGACAGUCUGCUGACUCACUGCAUUUCUGCUGCCUUUGCCAAAAGCUUCAUAAUUUAGUACAAAAUAACGGUGGUAGAGAUUCAGCUGCCUGCACUAUAGUGUCUAGUGCUGAUUUCAGUGUCCAAGGUAACUCGGACAUCUGCACCAGACUGGACCAUCUGCACCACAGGUCCUGCAGGAGACCUACGCUGUCAUGAAGCUGAAGAUCUGGUGGGGCACCCCAUCGCAUCUAUAGUAUCUGUAGUAACUUAUUUUCAAAGAAAUUGAGUCUCAUCCUUUCCAACUGAUCCCUGUAUGUCUGUUUUCAGUGAAAACCUCAACAGACUGUCUGCUGAAUACGUGCUAUACUACACAGACCUUCCCUGAUGAUACAGCCCAUAGCUAAGAUUAGCUACAUUUACAGGUCGGAUACUCAUCAUAGUUAUACACUGCAUCCUUUCAAAUGAGUCAUGGGGUUAUUCUUCUGCUCACACUUAUUUAAAGACACUUGGGUUGCGAUGCAUUUUCUGACCUGUCCAGGCACAUUUCCAUUUAUUUAUGCAACUGUGAUACCAGCUUUUCAGUGUCAUUACUCUAAAAACUGUGCAAGUCCUGCUGUUUGGGGAAACAUGUGACUGGGUUCUCCAUAAAUAGUGCAGAAAGACGUCAACUUAUUUUUCUUACUGCUUUGUCCACUCAGUGCUGUGCUAAACUUCUUGAGUACUCCCUGCUCUUCUCAGAGUGAGAAACCAUAGGAAACUGCAUGGUAUAACAUUGCCAGGAUGAUGCAUAAACUGCUAAUGUUCCAUUUAUUCUGAAUUCUUGAAUUCAUGGAUUUCUUCACCGUGAAAGUGGUGAGUCCCUGGCCCAGGU